UUAGCGCCAUCGCAACAGGGCAAGUGCAGGAGGCCAGUCAUGUUUUUUGACAACGUGGUGAUCGCCGGAGUGCUGACUGUCGGCCUCAUGGUUCUGUUUUUUGCAGGGUUUGGAUUUUUUAUCUGGAAGGAUUCGCACAAGCGGAAAAAACCGUAGGGUCUUUCUGGAGCAAUGAGCACGCAAGGCAUUUUGGGCGACUUCGGUCGCCCUUUUUUUUG
rnacentral:sRNA from 1 species